UACGUAGGUGACAAGCGUUGUCCGGAUUUACUGGGCGUAAAGAGCGCGCAGGCGGUCGUUCAAGUCGAGUGUGAAAGCCCCCGGCUCAACUGGGGAGGGUCAUUCGAUACUGAUCGACUCGAAGGCAGGAGAGGGAAGUGGAAUUCCCGGUGUAGUGGUGAAAUGCGUAGAUAUCGGGAGGAACACCAGUGGCGAAGGCGACUUCCUGGCCUGUUCUUGACGCUGAGGCGCGAAAGCUAGGGGAGCGAACAGG
rnacentral:rRNA from 1 species